UACGGGGGGUGCGAGCGUUGUCCGGAAUCACUGGGCGUAAAGGGCUCGUAGGCGGUCCAUCGCGUCGGGAGUGAAAAGCUGGGGCUUAACCCCAGUCCUGCUUCCGAUACGGGUGGACUAGAGGUAGGUAGGGGAGAACGGAAUCCUGGUGUAGCGGUGAAAUGCGCAGAUAUCAGGAGGAACACCGGUGGCGAAGGCGGUUCUCUGGGCCUUACCUGACGCUGGAGGAGCGAAAGCAUGGGGAGCAAACAGG
rnacentral:rRNA from 1 species